GUCCUUUUCAUUUCGGCGGUACAUAUACUAAAAUUAAAACAAUACAUAGAAGAUUAGCAUGGCUCCUGUGCAAGGAUAACACGUAAAAUCAUGUAGUGUUCCACAUUUUC
rnacentral:snRNA from 1 species